rnacentral:tRNA from 1 species
GCCCUUGUAGCUCAGUGGAUAGAGCAAUCGUUUCCUAAACGAUAGGUCGGCGGUUCGAGUCUGCCCAGGGGCAC